GAAAAUUAAAAAGAGAAAAAAAUAAGAAUUUUGCUAUUCUAACAAGGCUUUUGGAUAGGCCCUAAAUGAAAAUCAGAUCAAGGGUCGAGGUGUUGCCACCUCAAUCUCUGUCAUUUGGUCCGAUCAAAAGGCCCUCACUAUAUCAGGGCUCACAAAAUAAUUAUGAGUCAACUAUAUAAAUCUCUUGGAUCUAAAUUGCCUAUCAAAAUUUGCAGAGAAGAGAAGGAAUAGUUAUUUCAUCAGGAAAGUUUCCAACUGUCCUCAAAGGCUUCCAAUAAUCCAUCAUGCUACUGGUAUCAAUCUUCCCUAGCAAUAGAGUAUUGGAAGACUUGUGGACCGUUGAAGACACAUUUCUUUCAUCGAGGUAAAUCGGGUCGAGCCAUCUAUCUAGAUUACAAAAGGUACGUAAAAAGACGAAAUCGAAUGUAUAGCAACAAUAACUACUAUAAAUAAGAUUUUUACUUCAUUUGUGUACCGUAAAGAUAAUUAUUUUCUUGAUGUAUCAAAAUCAAGAGGUUAUGCAAUUUUCUUCUAAUUUCCCCUGUUGAUUUAUGUUAAAAUUACUUCAAAUUAUAGGGUUUUGAUCGUUUUCAUCGAUCUAGAUAAAAUUUAUAAUGUUUUCUAUCCUCUACUGGGUGCGGCAAAUUAAUUAAUUGUAAGUCAAGGGCUCAAAUUAGGGUUUACAAAUGAUUUUCAGGCUGAGCGCAGAUUGAAAAAAUCUGGUGUAAUUAAUAUGUGAUACGUGGAUUUUUCUUCUCUUCUCUCCUCUUCUCUCUCUCUGAAAAUUUUGAUACGUAAAUUGGACAUUUAAAGAUUAGGAUUUAAAGAAACUGAGAUUUUUCGAAUUAUGUUCUCUUCCCUCAUAAAUCAGGUCGAAUCCGAUAAAAAGUUACAUAAAGAGAACUCUGAAAAAUAAAUAAAUUGUACUCUACCAAGUCAAUUUAUGAUAAUUUCUUUUAAACUUCGAAUUACUGCAAUUAGGGUUUCACGCGUAGUAGAAAUCUUGACUAUUUCUACAGCCAUGUUACAACUAAUUAAGCAUUUAACUGUUGGAGUUUUAUUAUUAUUAUUAUUAUUAUUAUUAUUAUUAUUAUUAUUAUUAUUAUUAUUUUUAUUUUUUUUUUUUUUUUGGGAAAUCUGCUGUAAUUUCUUUGGUACAUAGUAA
rnacentral:lncRNA from 1 species